GUCCCCGUAGCUCAGCCGGAUAGAGCAACAGAUUCCUAAUCUGUAGGCCGUGCGUUCAAAUCGCGCCGGGGACACCA
rnacentral:tRNA from 1 species